UACGGGGGGGGCAAGCGUUGUUCGGAAUUACUGGGCGUAAAGGGCUCGUAGGCGGCCAACUAAGUCAGACGUGAAAUCCCCAGGCUCAACCUGGGAACUGCGUCUGAUACUGGAUGGCUUGAAUCCGGGAGAGGGAUGCAGAAUUCCAGGUGUAGCGGUGAAAUGCGUAGAGAUCAGGAAGAACACCGGUGGCGAAGGCGCUCUGCUAGGCCGCAACUGACACUGAGGGACGAAAGCUAGGGGAGCGAAUGGG
rnacentral:rRNA from 1 species